AAGAUGGUGUUUACACUUCAGAUCCCUAGACUUCUGCUUUUCUGGAUUUCAACCUCCAGUUGUAACCUUGUGUUGACUCAGUAUUCAGCCACUCUGUCUGUGACUCCAGGAGAUAAAGUGACUCUCUCCUGCAAAACCAGACAGAGUGUUGGCACAAACCUAAACUGGUGUCAACAAGAAUCAAAUGAGUCUCCAAGGUUUCUCAUCAAGUAUGUUUCCCAGUCCAUCUCUGGAAUCCCCUCCAUGUUCAGUGGCAGUGAAUUAGGGUCAGAUUUCACUCUCAGCAUCAACAGCCUGGAAAAUAUCUCAAGUUAUUACUGUCUACAGAGUAUGGCUUCCCACAGUGAUCCAGACAAUAGCAAAAGCACCAAGAAAGCAGAAGUGUGA